ACAAAUGAAAAUAUUUAAAACUAAAAUAAUGUAAUGUCCGCAACACUGCUUAAAACUCCCAUAUUUAAUAUAAAGGCAACAUUUCAACCCUACUGGGUCUUCUUCAGGCAAAUGGUGAACACAUUUGAUGAAGGGAUAUAUGUAGGCCUUACAUUCAGCUGACCCACCAUGUGGCUUCAAUUAGUCUGAUUAGGUCUGAAAGGCCUAAAAGCCCCACUCAUGACUCAAUUGAG